AGAUGCGAUCAUACCAACUCACAUGUACCAUAUCCCAUCAAAACUCUGAAGUUAAGCGAAUUUGGACGAGAGUAGUAUUAGGAUGGGUGACCUCCUAGAAAGUCCUCGUGUUACAUCCC
rnacentral:rRNA from 1 species